rnacentral:tRNA from 1 species
UGGGGCUGGGGCUCAGUGGUAGAGUGCUUGCCUCACAUAUUUGAGGCACUGGGUUUGCUCCUCAGCACCACAUAAAAAUAAAUAAAUAAAGGUAUUGUGUCCAUCUAUGACUAAAACAUAAAUUUUUAAAAAAGAUAUUUAAAAAUGUAUGUUAUUUAAACAAACAAACCCAACAAGACCAGGCACAGUGAGACCCUGUCUCAAAAUAACAAGGGCUAGGGAUGUAGUUCAGUGGUAGAGCACCCCUGGGUUCAAUCCCCAGUACCAA